rnacentral:rRNA from 1 species
UCCGUAGGCGGUGCGGCAAGUCGAUAGUGAAAUCCCUGGGCUUAACCCAGGGGCUGCUAACGAAACUGCCGUGCUCGAGUGUGAGAGAGGCGAGUGGAAUUACGGGUGUAGCGGUGAAAUGCGUAGAUAUCCGUAGGAACAUCCGAGGCGAAAGCGGCUCGCUGGAUCACAACUGACGCUGAGGGACGAAAGCUAGAGGAGCAAACAGGAUUAGAUACCCUGGUAGUCCUAGCCCUAAACCAUCAGGACUUGGGGUUUGCCCUGUACGGGGCAAGUCCCGUAGCUAACGCGUUAAGUCCUGCGCCUGGGGAGUACGGUCGCAAGGCUGAA